CACACUGUGUACAUAACUAAAAAAAAAAAAAAAAUAGAUAGAUGAUUCCCAGCCCUAGCACAGCAGCUAGUGCCCAGGUGAGCAAGUGUGGUGCUUCCACAGUGAGCUUGACAACUUGUGCCAGGGAAAUGGAGACAGACACUGAGGAUACUCAAGAUGCACCAAAGCAGAAAUCCAGAAGAUGCUGAGAGAUUCACACUAAAGCAGACUUAAAGCACACCCACCAAGGCUCAGAGAGUCCAUUACUAGGAAGAUGUGAUUUUAAAAUAGAGAGCCACCAAAGAUGGAGUGAACACCAGCAUUCACCAGGGUCACCCUGCUUUUCUUUUCUGAAUCAACAUGACAGAUAAAGAUGCUUCUGUCCAUCUAUAGGGAGUGUAUGGUGUGACACAUGGCCGGAAGUCUUCAUUUCAGUUAUAGAUACUGGCAUUCCAGUAUCAAUGAUGGCAAAAUCAAGCUGCUGAAGAACUUUGAAAACACUGACGAUGCUCCAUGACUGGCAUGAGAUAAUAUUCAUUCAUGCAGGAAGUAACUCUCUAUGUAAAGAGGCACAAGCACAUC